GACGAACGCUGGCGGCGUGCCUAACACAUGCAAGUCGAACGGGGUCAGCCCUUCGGGACUGACUUAGUGGCGAACGGGUGAGUAACGCGUGAGGAACCUGCCUCUCAGUGGGGGACAACAGUUGGAAACGACUGCUAAUACCGCAUAAGCCCACAGAGCCGCAUGGCUCAGGGGGAAAAGGAGCAAUCUGCUUCAGGAUGGAUUCGCGUCCAAUUAGCUAGAUGGUGAGGUAACGGCCCACCAUGGCGACGAUUGGUAGCCGGACUGAGAGGUUGAACGGCCACAUUGGGACUGAGACACGGCCCAGACUCCUACGGGAGGCAGCAGUGGGGAAUAUUGCACAAUGGGGGGAACCCUGAUGCAGCGACGCCGCGUGGAGGAAGAAGGUCUUCGGAUUGUAAACUCCUGUCUUCGGGGGACGAUAAUGACGGUACCCGAGGAGGAAGCCACGGCUAACUACGUG
rnacentral:rRNA from 1 species